CCUACGGGUGGCAGCAGUAGGGAAUCUUCCACAAUGGGCGAAAGCCUGAUGGAGCAACGCCGCGUGGGUGAAGAAGGUCUUCGGAUCGUAAAACCCUGUUGUUAGAGAAGAAAGUGACGGUACCUCAGGAAUAAGCCACGGCUAACUACGUGCCAGCAGCCGCGGUAAUACGUAGGUGGCAAGCGUUAUCCGGAUUUAUUGGGUGUAAAGGGCGUGUAGGCGGGAAAGCAAGUCAGAUGUGAAAACUCAGGGCUCAACCCUGAGCCUGCAUUUGAAACUGUUUUUCUUGAGUGCUGGAGAGGCAAUCGGAAUUCCGUGUGUAGCGGUGAAAUGCGUAGAUAUACGGAGGAACACCAGUGGCGAAGGCGGAUUGCUGGACAGUAACUGACGCUGAGGCGCGAAAGCGUGGGGAGCAAACAGGAUUAGAUACCCCUGUAGUC
rnacentral:rRNA from 1 species